CCUACGGGGGGCAGCAGUGGGGAAUUUUCCGCAAUGGGCGAAAGCCUGACGGAGCAAUACCGCGUGAGGGAGGAAGGCUCUUGGGUCGUAAACCUCUUUUCUCAAGGAAUAAGAAAGUGAAGGUACUUGAGGAAUCAGCAUCGGCUAACUCCGUGCCAGCAGCCGCGGUAAUACGGAGGAUGCAAGCGUUAUCCGGAAUGAUUGGGCGUAAAGGGUCUGUAGGUGGCGGUGCAAGUCUGCGGUUAAAGAGUCUAGCUCAACUAGAUAAAAGCCGUGGAAACUGCAAAGCUAGAGUACGGUAGGGGCAAGAGGAAUUCCUGGUGUAGCGGUGAAAUGCGUAGAGAUCAGGAAGAACACCGGUGGCGAAAGCGUCUUGCUAGACCUGUACUGACACUGAGGGACGAAAGCUAGGGGAGCGAAUGGGAUUAGAUACCCCUGUAGUC
rnacentral:rRNA from 1 species